rnacentral:rRNA from 1 species
UACGGGGGGGGGCUAGCGUUGUUCGGAAUUACUGGGCGUAAAGGGCGCGUAGGCGGCCUACUAAGUCGGACGUGAAAUCCCUCGGCUCAACCGGGGAACUGCGUCCGAUACUGGUGGGCUCGAAUCCGGGAGAGGGAUGUGGAAUUCCAGGUGUAGCGGUGAAAUGCGUAGAUAUCUGGAGGAACACCGGUGGCGAAGGCGGCAUCCUGGACCGGUAUUGACGCUGAUGCGCGAAAGCCAGGGGAGCAAAGCGGGAU